rnacentral:rRNA from 1 species
GAGUUUAUCCUGGCUCAGAUUGAACGCUGGCGGCAUGCCUUACACAUGCAAGUCGAACGGCAGCAUGAUCUAGCUUGCUAGAUUGAUGGCGAGUGGCGAACGGGUGAGUAAUACAUCGGAACGUGCCCUGUAGUGGGGGAUAACUAGUCGAAAGAUUAGCUAAUACCGCAUACGACCUGAGGGUGAAAGUGGGGGACCGCAAGGCCUCAUGCUAUAGGAGCGGCCGAUGUCUGAUUAGCUAGUUGGUGGGGUAAAGGCCCACCAAGGCGACGAUCAGUAGCUGGUCUGAGAGGACGAUCAGCCACACUGGGACUGAGACACGGCCCAGACUCCUACGGGAGGCAGCAGUGGGGAAUUUUGGACAAUGGGCGAAAGCCUGAUCCAGCAAUGCCGCGUGUGUGAAGAAGGCCUCGG